rnacentral:rRNA from 1 species
GUCUAUGGCCAUGCUACCCUGAACAAGCCCAAUGUCUGAUCUCAGAAGCUAAGCAGGGUCGGGCCUGGUUACUAUUUGGAUGGGAGACCACCUAGGAAGACCAGGUGCUGUAGGCA